rnacentral:rRNA from 1 species
CGAACGGGUGAGUAACACGUGGGCAACUUGCCCAAAAGAGGGGGAUAACACUUGGAAACAGGUGCUAAUACCGCAUAACCAUAGUUACCGCAUGGUAACUAUGUAAAAGGUGGCUAUGCUACCGCUUUUGGAUGGGCCCGCGGCGCAUUAGCUAGUUGGUGGGGUAAAGGCUUACCAAGGCAAUGAUGCGUAGCCGAACUGAGAGGUUGAUCGGCCACAUUGGGACUGAGACACGGCCCAAACUCCUACGGAAGGCAGCAG